GCCAGCCUCUUCUUCCAGCUGAUCCUCCAACUGCUUGAGACGUUCCUCUGUAAAUGGAUAGGCAUCUGCUCCAUGUUCUUUAAUGAGCUUACGAGCUUCUGUCGAGACUGUACGACCGCUUUCGUUAAUGGCUACAAGUGCAGGAAUGCCUUCGAUUUUGAACCUGCGAUUUAGAAAGCUCUUCCUUUCAUCCCCAAAUGGCAGGGCUAACCAAGGCAUUCCUGAAAAGAAUUCUUCAAACGAAGCUUGGUCUCGAUCACUUGAAAUGAAUAUGACUUCAAACUCUUUGUGUUUUUGCUUAAUUACAUUGUAUGUGUCUGUAAGCUUAGGCAAGAAUGCACGGCACGGACGGCACCAGUGUGCCGAGAAAUAGAGAAGAAUGUUCUUGCCAACAAGUUCAGAUACGGGGACCUUUGCACCAUCUUUUCCAAUAACAAAAUCUUUUUCUCCAUGAACUAGAAUGGACUCCAGAGUCUGCGACUCAAGCUUUGACUUCUCAAUCUCUGCAAGCUCCUCAAGUUUCUCUGGAG
rnacentral:misc_RNA from 1 species